UAUUAACUGGCAAGUGGAAAUGUU
rnacentral:piRNA from 1 species